CAAAAGCGUAUAUUAAAGUUGUUGCAGUUAGAAAGCUCGUAGUUGAACCUUGGGCUUGGCUGGCCGGUCCAUCUUUUUUGAUGCGUACUGGACCCAGCCGAGCCUUUCCUUCUGGCUAGCCUUUUUGGCGAACCAGGACUUUUACUUUGAAAAAAUUAGAGUGUUCAAAGCAGGCCUUUGCUCGAAUAUAUUAGCAUGGAAUAAUAGAAUAGGACGUUAUGGUUCUAUUUUGUUGGUUUCUAGGACCAUCGUAAUGAUUAAUAGGGACGGUCGGGGGUAUCAGUAUUCAGUAGUCAGAGGUGAAAUUCUUGGAUUUACUGAAGACUAACUACUGCGAAAGCAUUUACCAAGGACGUUUUCAUUAA
rnacentral:rRNA from 1 species